rnacentral:lncRNA from 1 species
GUAGGUUCUUUAAGCAUUGACGAGCUAAAGACCAUUUUAAAUUCUAAGCCUAGGGAAGCUUACAAUGGAACUAAUCAGAUGUUUUUAUGUCGGUUUGUUCCGAGACAGUGGAAGACUGGAGGUCAUGUGCUUGUGUCUAAUGUUUAGCAAAAUCUUAGUGAAACGAGGGCGAUAGGAAUGGGGGCUGGGGAAGACUUAGAUGGGAUAAAAAGAGGUGCGGCUGGAAGAACUAAAUCACUUUAAAACUUCUGAAAAUAAAUGUUGACCAUUGUAGUCAGAGGAGUAAAAUGUUCAGAGAAAUGGGGAUGAUUAAACAAGAACGGCAAGCCAGAUUGAGUCAGAAAAUUAUCUUCCUGCCAGAAAUUCUGUCUCCCACAACGGCAUCAGGGGGUGGUUACUUGCCCAGGGUGUAGUCAGUUUUUAAAAAGCUUAAGGGUUACCAACAUAUUCCUAAAUUUCCUGAAUUUGCUGUGAUUCCAGGAUUCAUUUAAACUCUUGAGACUGUUUUACUUUCGGCACGAAAUCAGCUCAUGGGCUUUAUAAAUGUAGAACCUACUGCAUUAUAGUUCUUCUUUUUGUUUAUUCUAAAACUGUUAGUAGCAGCCAGCGUAUUAUAUGAUUUGGAUUGGGCCAUGAACAACCGUAACGAGUGAUAAAGCACCCUUUCCUGUUCCAAUGCAAAGAACAACUAUGAAAAGAAAGUACUGGCAAAUUUAUCAUCUUGUAGUUAGUUCCUGGCCAAAGAAAAUGGUAAGGCCAUUCUUUUAAGCAGUUAAAAAAAAAUGGGGAUGGGCUCUUAAACUUUGGCAUGCUAAGGCCAUUCUUUUAAGCAGUUUAAAAAAAUGGGGAUGGGCUCCUAAACUUUGACAUACUAAAGCAGUCGUCAUUUAGGUAAAAUCUAAGUCUUAAUGGAAAUCGUGAUUUCAUAUCUACUGCAGCGUUAGCAAUCACAUAAUGAUAACUUAAAUCAGUAAAUCGUUGAACUCGGUUCUCUAAUCUUUGAAGAAUAGAAAUACUUUUUAUCCCAAAAGAUGUUUUGAGAAUUAAAUUUGCAGAGAAUUUUUUAGGUCUUUAGUUGUAAUUUAUAGAGCUAGGUCUUUUAACUUUAGUGGAAACCAUGCCCUCCAAACCCAAGUGACUGGAGUCAGAAUGUGAAAUAAGACGACAUAAAAUCCCUAUUUCUUAAGGGGCUGGGCGAAAGUAAUGGAACAAAAUGUAACGUUAUGCUAUUGUGGCAGAGAUAGCUAAUGGAAUGUUUCAUUUCUAAGUCUGUAAUUUCAGUAAUUGUUAGAGGCAGUUUUCCAUCAAUAAGUUAGAUCAAAUGGUUAAACCCAAUAUGAAUUUAUAAAAGCUUAAUUUAAUUUUGGAUUGAUUUACCAGAUGUUUAAGGUGGUUAUAAUGGGUAGUGUUGAUGGUGGUGCUUUUGGAAAAAUGAGUAUUAUAUGCCUGCUCAUCCCUUUACAUUAUCUUAUCAUAUAAACUUCUUGAUUACUCGUUAUGAUACUCUUAAAUCGUACAUUUAGAGGAAAAAUCUUAAAGUAAUCUGUAAGACCAUUUCUCCUUAAAAUGAUAUAUUAUGAGAUGAAAGGAAAGAUAAAGAUAAUUUAGAAGAGAUCCAGAAGUGGACUAAAUUUCUGGUAAGGAGGGGGCUAAAGAUGUUAAAAGACAUCUUAGGAAAAGCAUAUGAUUUAUAACUUUUAAAAGUGUCAUUUAGAUGGUUAAGGAUUUGUGUUUAAUAGUUCUCUUGAAAAUAUUGUUUUCCAAAAGUUUAAAAGCCCUAGCUACUUUUAUACAUUUGCCCUUAAAAAAUGUACAGAAUUUAUUACAUCAAACUGCUACAAAGAAAUAAGAAUUCUGAUUUUUGCAAGUAAGUUGGAAAUCAACGUAGAGGACAAAAAGUGGCAUAGCUAUAUCUAAACAAAAAAGUAUGUAAUUCAAAAGUUGGUCCACAAAGAAUUGAAAGCCUUUCAAUAACUAAUUUAAAUGAUAGAAAGCAGUAUGUAUAUGCAAGUACAUAUGCUCCCUGUAUAGAGAGUGGUUAGUAAGUAAGAUGGUAGCCUAACUCACUGGAAUAAAGAGAUCCUUGGAGUCCCAAACCUCAAGACUAGGAGUCUUAAUGCAGUUACCAGGCUGCAUGCCUGUACCCAGAGACCAUACUAGAGGCUGUGGGAAUCCUCGAUUACUGCUCUUAGAGCCCCCAACUUGACUGUUUCUUCUGUACCUGGUACUUUUUUCAAAUAUUUCAAAUUGCAGUGAUGCAUGGGAGAUACAUUUAGAAAACAUAAUGCAGGGGAAUAAAAGCAGUUAAAAACUAAGGACAGUUUCUACUGAUGAAAAUAAAAAACUGCUACAGCAACAUCUUUUCAUCAUCUGUAAACAUCAUACCCCCAAAUUUUCCUAAGUUAUUAUCUAACCUCAUCAGUAGCAGAUGGUGAAUUAUUUCAUAGAAAAUCCUGGAAUGUAAACUCUAGAUACUCAAGAAAACCUCUUUUUUUUCAAUGAAGGUAUAUUAUAUUUAAAAUAAUAAUGAUGCAUUAAACAUUAUGGGAUAAAGAAAAUACUUUCCAUAGAAAUUAAGCAAUGGCCUAGGCAAAGAGAAGUAACCCUUUAGCAUUAAUACUAUCAGUUAGACAGUGACAUUUAUUGAACAUUCCCUGUGUUGUGUAUUAAGAAUUGGACUACCUAUAUCCCAGUCAACAAUUUUUUCUGGAGUUUAGAAAUAGUUUAUGCUUAUUUUCUGUGUUUUUUAUUACCAAAUUGUUAUUAGUUUGGUGCAAAAGUAAUUGUGGUUUUUGUCACUUACAUGAUGGCAAAAACUGCAAUUACUUUUGCACCAACCUAAUAGAAAAAUACAAAAUGGAGAAUAGUUUUCAGGUUCCACAAAGCAUUUGCUGGAAAUAAAUAUCAGUUGUCUAAAUAAGUAGUACUUGAUUUAUUACUAUGAUUUUCGUAGGGUUCCAUUUCUGGAACAAUAUCAUAUUAAUAAACCCUUUCAGUGAGACCAUUGUGUGGUAUUGCCCAAAAAGGAAAAAAAAAUGUAAUGAGAAAGGACUAAGGCUAAUAAAAUUCCAUAAAUACUAUUAUAAAGAAAAGUAUAAUUUGACUGAGAUGCACAAAUGCUUACUUGAUAAUGAGGUGUUUUUAAGGAAACUUCUAUUAAAUACUCUUUUUGAGUUUAAUAUACUAUGAAACAAUGUUGUCUUUUUUUUUUUUUUAAUGAAGAUUUCCUUGACUUCCAAAGACCUUUGAUGUUCAAGCAAAAUGUAGCAAUUUGGUAAAAGUAAAGGGUGCAUUUCGAACUGAAAUAAACAUAAUGUCCUAUUAAGACCUGUAUUAUAUUUUAUGGAAUUUAACUUAGAAUGUAAGAUAUUAGCUCUGCGGUUUUACAAGCUUGUUUAAAUUCUGCAAUGUAGGGCAACAGAAAAUCCAAACAAAAUCCAUUAAUGACUAUAUUACUUCUUUAUUUUUCUUUUUAAAUAUUAUAUGUGGCCAGUCAGGAUGAAGUUUUUUUUAAACUACAUUUCCUAGUUGGACAGAUCAAGAGUAAGCUCCAGUUUUGCUAUAAUCUCGUUUUGUGAUUGCUGACAAGUCUAUUACUCCCUCAGUUCCCCUAUCACUAAAAAGAAAUAACAUUGUGGUAAAGAGGUGUUAAACUACCAAAUCCACUGAAAAAGUAUGGAAAAAGGUCACAGAUGUGGCAGCUUUGGCAUCUUCAGAAGAAAAGAUAGCAACUCAAUGUGAUACUAUUGGCAAUACCAUUUGUUAAUUGAAAAAAGAAGAAGAAAGCAGUUACUAGACAUCCAUGAUUUUAUGGAGAAGCCAUAUUCUGUCAUAGAUGAGCUAUUUACAGACAUUCAAUGGCACAUUCUUUGACAAAGUGAAUCAUCACUGUCUAGUCUUUCUUGUAUAUGAAUUUGAAGUAUUGAUUAAAGUUGUAGCAUACCUGUAAUUUUAAACUGUAAAACUCUAACACUCACAAAAGAACAUUGAAAGACUGCAAAUUUCUAGACUUGGAGGUUAUAAUUCCUUCUGUAUGUUACUACUAUCAGCUUAUAAAAUUUUAAAAAAUGUGAGUGUAGAAACUUAUAUAAACUGUAUUCACACAUGAAGGAUAGCCUAAAUGCUCCGGACUGAUAAUCUGAAGGUCAUUCUCACCUGGCUGAUUGAACUACUUUUAUUCAUAGAAGCCAAAGUUUUGAAAGGUACAGAUAGAAUCUUGACUACCUUGCAUUCGCAGUUACGUUUUAAUUGCAAAAUAACAAGCUCUUUAGUCACUGGAAACAAAACACUUUUAGCAUUUAACUUUAUAAUACUUGAAAUCCUACCUUGAAAGCAUUCAUACUCAUUAAAAGCUCAACACAUGAUCCAUGUUUACAUAAGGAUUUGGGUGUUGCUUAAAAUGAUCAUGUAAUGAGCUGCUUCUCUGCAAAUUAAUAUUCACUCCCUUCCCUCAUCCUUAAUGUGGGAUCUUUGAAGGAAAAGGAAGUGACCAAACUAAAGACAUAGGGAAAUGCAAAAUCAAGGUGAAAAGUUACCCAGAGGGUUGUUUUAAUUUUGGCCAUCAACCCCCUAGUGAAUAAUGGUAACAGUAUUGUUUUGAGACCCAUUUUGUGGCAUUUACCUAUUGUUAAACUAAAUUGACUAGAUGUAAAUAUAUUUUCAUCUUCAGAUAUUUAGAAUUUCUAUCCUUCCCCAUUGUUUCUGGAUUUUGAUACUAAUCUUUUUUCUUUGCAUAUUGUAUAUAUUUACUCAACAACUAAUCUAAUUUUAGAUUUUUAGCUUAUCCACAUUUCAUUUUUGUUUAUUUCAUUGGUAUUUCAUCAAUACAAUGGCUCUACCCUUCAAGGAAAAAAAACAUCAGCCCGUCCCACAAAAACACAUAUAUUCAAGAAAGAUAAAUUACAUUGUGAUGAUUCAAUCAUAGUAAGUAUUCACCACUGAAUUUCUUUAAGAAUAACUACUGUGUUCAAAAUAAUUUUUGUACUAAUAUUUCAUUUGAGAUAUUUUAUUUCUGUGGAAUAAAAAGAUUUAUCAUAGUAACAUCAAGCUUGUAUCUUGAACAAACAGCUCCAAAUAUAAUAAUACAAGCUCUACUUCAUGCAUUCAACAUGUAUUUAGAAACCUGGCUGGGCACAGUGGCUUACACCUGUAAUCCCAGCACUUUGGGAGGCCGAGGUGGGCAGAUCACUUGAGGUCAGGAGUUUGAAACCACCCUGGUCAACAUGGUGAAACCCUGUCUCUACUAAAAAUACAAAAAUUAGCUGGGCAUGUUGGCAGGCGCCUGUAAUCUCAGCUACUUGGGGGACUGAGGCACGAAAAUCACUUGAACCUGGGAGGCAGAGAUUGCAGUGAGCCAAGAUCACACCACUGCACUCCAGUCUGGGUGACAGAACAAGACUCUGUAAGAAACCUACUGUGUUGACCUCUUUGUUGGACUUGGGGAAAAUAGUUGUGAACCAGAAAAGAAAAGCAAAGUCCUUGUUCAAAUAGGUCUUAUAUUUUAGUAGGGGAAACAACCACCAAAGAAAUAAGCAAAAAAAUAUAAUUUCAAAUAUUCAUAAGUGUUAAGAAAAAAAUGAAACAAUAAUGCAAGGUGGGAAAGGAGACAGUGUACCUUACUCAGAUGUACUGUAGGUAGGCCUGAGGAAAUGUUCUUUGAGCUAAGGACAAGCUCAUCAGGGGAGCAUUUGAUUAAGGGAGACAGAUGAGGCAAUGGCUUUGUGCUGGAAACCAGUAUGUGGUUGGAAGGGAGCAGGGGGCAUCUGAGUAGUAGGCAAGGGCUAGAUCAUAUGGACAUUGUUGGCCACGUAAAGGCACAGAUAUUUUAUUUUAAAUGCAUUGAGAAGCCACAGGCAGGUUAUAAGCAGAGGAUUAACAUGAUCUGAUUUACAUUUACAAGGAAACCUUUUUAAAAAAUCUUAACCUCUAAUAGUUUAUAAUAUAUUGUGUAUUAUGUUUAGAGAGAUUUAAAAAUAACUUAUAUGAUCAAAGACAAGUUUCUUUUUGUAGGGCUGUACUAUUUGUGUGAUAUCAAAAUGGAAGAAAUAUUUAACAAUCUAUAUGGCAUUUCUUACAGAGACUUAAUAACUUUGUUGCAAAAUGACUAAAUCUUUGUAAGAGAGAAAUCUUUUUCUCCAUGAAACCUUAACUUUAAUUUAAGGGCAGUGAUUUUGAUAUUUAAGAGAAGCUUGAAAUGCCCCACUUAAAAAAAAAACAACUCUGGACAACAGUGAAAAAGAAGUCUUUUUGUUUAAAUGUAAUUAUUAAAUAAGUGUGACAAAAAUAGAGCUAAUUUUAGGGAUGCUCAGGGCUGAGACUGCUUUUCUUCAGUGGAUAAAAAUAUCCAUAGGCAAAUCUAGGGACACUUUAAAUAAUUCAAGUAGUCAUAAAAGGGUCUCAGAGGAGGGGACCUCUUCUGGAAGAGGUAGGUGGAAAGGCCAUGCAUUUUGAUAUUGGUGGAUUGCUUUUCAUUUAGAAACUACUUUGUUUUCCUUAUCCAGUACAAUUGAACAGUAGAUGAUUUCUACUCUGUUUCACGGGCUAUUUCUUUAUUAGCAAGGUUACACUCUUGAGCACCUGUGGGGACAACUGGCCUGGGCACUUUCUUCGUAUCUGCCUUUAUCUUCUCUCAACUCAGGCCUGUAUGUACAAAGGUUAAAUUUGUUCCUACUCAGUUAAAAUCUAAAGGAAGGCCACCAUAGGCCAUUACUUUCUCUAGAGCACGCAAAGGUAAUCUGUUUUCCUAGUUGAACAUGGGAGAAGAAACACCUAGAUGUUUUAUACCAUAGGCUCCAAUGUAAAUGUGAAUAGGUGAUAUAAAUUCCAAGCAAAAAGAAGAAAGUUUGCUUAUCUUAUCCAAUACUUUUGAAAUAUAUUACUAUUUGAUGGCAUUUGGCAUUUUAUAAGAUAUGAUAAAAACUUAAGACUAAAAAAAGAAGGCCAGAUGCGGUGGCUCAUGCCUGUAAUCCCAGCACUUUGGGAGGCUGAGGUAGGCGGAUCACCUGAGGUCAGGAGUUCGAGACCAGCCUGGCCAACAUGGUGAAACCCUGUCUCUGCUAAAAAUACCAAAACUUAGCUGGGCAUGGUGGCGGGCACCUGUAAUCUCAGGUACAUGGCAGGCUGAGGCAGAAGAAUCGCUUGAACUUGGGAGGCAGAGGUUGCAGUGAGACAAGAUUGUGCCAUUGCACUCCAGCCUGGGCAACAAGAGAGAAACUCCAUCUCAAUAAAAAAAAAAGGAUAGCAUGCCAAAGUUAUUGCGUAAAUUCUUUAAAAGGGGUACACAUGUGCUCGUGUUGCAUUUUUGUUAAAUAUCAUCCUAAAACUUAGAUUAUUUUACAACUUAAUUAUAAAGCUUACGAAUCCUGAUCAUAUUGCUUUAAAAUAGCACCUUGUUAUGGGUAGAAAAAUAUUACCCAAACUUUAUAGCCCACCUUAUUAAUGAACUUUGCUUCUAGUUGACUUAUUUUAUUUAUUUAUUUAUUUAUUUAUUUUGGUGACAGAGUUUUGCUCUGUCUCCCAGGCCGGAGUGCAGUGGCGCGAUCUCAGCUCACUGCAACCUCUGCCUUCUGGGUUCAAGGGAUUCUCUUGCCUCAGCCUCCCGAGUAGCUGGGAUUACAGGCACAUGCCACCAUACCUGACUAAUUUUUUGUAUUUUUAGUAGAGACAGGGUUUCACCAUUUCGGCUAGUCUGGUCUCAAACUCCUGACCUUCUAGUUGACUUCUGUUUUCAAAAGUCAAAAUCAUUUUGAAGAUGAACAUUUGUCAUUUGUUGAAAAUUUUUAAAAAUGUUAAAUAUGUUAGAAUAUCAAGUAAAAAAAAUUAAAAUUAUAUCAUGCCUUUUAAAAAUUACAUGUAUGCAUAGUAAAAGAAUUUGGGAGAAAUACAUUGGAACUUUAAUAAUGGCUAUCUCUAAGGGAUGAGGUAAUAGGCUUUUUUUUUUGCUUUAUAUAUUUUUUUCAAAAUUUCUGCAAUGAUCACAAAUCAUUUUUAUUUAAAUAUAUUACUUUUAUAUAUUUAAAAAAUGUACCCACAGACUCCAGACUAAGCCAAAAAUAACUUUGUAAGGGUGUAUUAACAACAGCCAAGAUUAUAGUUUUAGCUGUUGUGAUAGAUGAUAGUUCAUAAAUGCUAUCCAAAGAUAAAUUGUCCCUUGGGAAUAGUAUAUAUUUGAAUGCCCUCAAAGAUAAUAUUAGAAAUAAUUGGUGCCUUUUCAGUUGAAUCAAACUAAUGCAGAGCAACUUUUAAGAGUCAAUUUAUGAAAUACAAGAGGAUUUUAGAACAGAAUUACAAGGACAGAAAGGACAGAAAAAUAAUUAAAAUAUUAGAAGCAAAGUUGAAAGAGAGUGGGACGUCAGGAACUUUUGUUCUGUUACAGUCUCUGCAGCAUUGUGUCUAGUUGUGUGUCCCUGAACAGGUCAUAAUUUCGAUGGGCCUCAGUUUCUUUAACUGUAAAAUAAGAGUUGACUGAACAGAUGACUAUUUUCAGUGCCAAGACUUUAUGAAUCUAAAUUCCCCAAACAAAUUUGGAUUCUUGGUUUUACGUGCAGCAGUCAAUAUAUAAAUGGGUCCAGAAGAUGUCUUUGCUUCAGCUUUGGUAACACUCAAGUGUGCUGGUUAUUGCCUGAUUUCCUCUUCUCUAUCAUUUUCCUGCUCUUCUCUGCACUCUUGCAUUCCAGGAAUGGGAUGUUCUGGCUCUCAUUACCAGGGAUCCCCUUGUCUUCCCUGGGUUUAGCCAAUGAGAACUGCUGGCAGGAGGUCAGAGGGUAGUAGAAAAAAGAAUUUGGGUUAUUUCUUUCCCCCUCCCUUUGAGCUAGCCUGAGAUUCUGGUGGUGAUGGCAUUCCUCUACAACUGCGUACCCUGUCAGAUACCCGCCCAUGGCUCUAACUUUCACUGGGCUGCUUCAGAUCCAGCUGUGGUGAUGGCAUCCCAAUGUACUAGCCCCUGAAUGCCUCAGCAUUCCUUGUUUGGCCUCUUAACUCUGCCCACAUUUCUGUAAUUGUUCUUUACAUUAGUUUGUACUCAAAAUCUCCUUGGAACUGUGCCUUCAGUUUCCUGCUAGGACAAGGUGAAUACAUCCAAGUCAUUUCUAUUUUUCUGAUUCCUACAACUUUGCUCAAAUUCAUUGUUUCCUGUCAUACUCAGAAUAAGAGUCAAGUCUUAACAAUAACCUACAAGAUUUGUGCUGUGCUCACCCUACUCCAGCCACAAUGAUCUCCUUGCUAUUCUUAUAGCCUACCAAUGUACCCUCCUGCCUCAGGACUUUUGCACUUACUAUAGUUUCUCCUUAUUCCCUAAGCUGUUUGCAUGGCUAAUUCCCUUAUCUUCAGGUCUUGGCCCAAAUGUCACCUUUUCAGUGAGGACUUCCCUGACUACACUAUUUAAAACAGCAAGCCUCCACCUCCCAUCCCUCUUUUUGCUUGAUUUUUCUCUAGCACACUUAUAACCUUCUAAUAUACUACAUUAUUUACUUAUUUUGUUUGUUGUCUCUCUUCCCAUACUGAAGUGGAUUAUUCCAAGAGGGAGAGGGUUUUCAUCUGUCUUGUUCAUUCUUAUAUUCUCAGAGUGAAUAAUACAGCCUGGCACAUACUGGAUUCUAAGUAAAUAUUAUGUAAAUAAAUGUUCCAUUUUUACAACAUGCUACAACAAUUUUAUUCAAUAUUUAUGAAAGUAAAGUAAUAAACAUGCUGAAAAACAUGGAACAUUGGUAAAGUGGGAAAUUCCCUGCAAUGACAGAUACUUUUGGAACAUGUCUUUUUUUUAUUGUUUUUGAGAUGGAGUUUCGCUCUUGUUGCCCAGGCUGGAGUGCAAUGGUGUGAUCUCGGCUCACCACAACCUCCACCUCCCAGGUUCAAGCGAUUCUCCUACCUCAGCCUCCCGAGCAGCUGGGAUUACAGGCAUGCACCACCACACCUGGCUAAUUUUUGUACUUCUGGUAGAGAUGGGGUUUCUCCAUGUUGGUCAGGCUGGUCUCGAACUCCCGACUUCAGGUGAUCUGCCCACCUCCACCUCCCAAAGUGCUGGGAUCACAGGUGUGAGCCACCGCGCCUGGCCAAAACAUGUCUUUUAUAAAGGGGAUAAAAGAGAGAUACUAUUUUACUUACAAGAUAAAAGUUUCUUUACCUUUUUAUUGAUGCAUUUUAUUUGUUGCAAAAUUUUCAGAAAAUAUGCAAGGUAUGUAUUGGAUCAUAUGUUGAAGUCCUUGAGAAAAUACCUUAUUUAGUAUUUAGAAAGUAUAAGAUUAAAAUCUUGAUCAAGAGUACGCAUUACUUUGACACUAGCUAUUCUUAAUCGUAUUUAAUUCAAGGCACAUUGACAUAUUUUAAAUAUUUGGUAUAAUGGCUAAAAUAACAUUUCCUUUGCAUAGAAAAAUCUAAAAAAUAUAGACACUGUAAGGGUAAAAACUUCUUAUUUAGUUUUUUAAAUGUAGGUCUAUAGAUAUGUCACUGUAGUAACAAAGUAUUAGGAAAAGCUCUAUUUUGAAUUCAUAGAGUCUAAAUGCUAUUGAUUAAUAAUGAAUACUUAGAUUUUUUAAAUGUCUUUUAUAGACUCAUUGGGCUUUGUUUUCUUCAUCUGUUUGGUUUGGCUGCUCUCAUUUACAUACUUGCUCUCAUUAGGGUUUGAAUUUCAGAGCUGGCCUCACUCUGCGAUGAGAACAAAUGUCUUGCCAUGUGAUACUAACUUUCCAUUACAUGCUGAAGCAUUUGCAGUCCCAGAGGCAAAGAAUUUAUGGUUGGUACAUGAGAGAUAGAACCAUCACAUAAAAGAAGCCAAAUUUGCAAUCAUAUUUUUCCUUAGUGCUAAUAUAGUUUCGGGAUAAUGAGAACUCAGAAUAAUCAGCUAAUGACCAGAAAUGAAUCAUUAUUAAAACACUGUUUUUCUGGCAUAAAAUAGCUAAUGUUUCUAGUUGGUUGAUAAUUUUCUUAGCAACCAUGGUAUUUGGCACGUCCUAAACCACUUUUCACUAGAAGCCUUCAGACCCCACUGAAGCAGUUCAUUAUACUCUGAAACAGUUCUGAGAAUCAGGGAGAAUAAUAUACAAGUUUUGCUGAUAUUCUAUAGCUGUAUAGCCAGUAUCCUGUAGCAAAUACUUAAAAUUUCCUACAAGAUUUCUCAGUAAUUCUCCAGCCAAGUAGGAAAUUAAGUAGAUGCAGCAGAAGAGAUUAAAAAGUAUUGGAAGUCGAUCCCCAAGUUAGAGUUUGGUCAGAAUUUCAAGCUUGUUUUAUUGUUUUUUAAAAAGUAAAUAAACAAGUUGUUUUAUACUUUAAUAAUAGGGUCACCAUUAAUAUAACAUUUACAUGGCAUCAUAUUUCCAAGGGAUUCUGUAUAUGUCCCAGCUUCUUGUUAUUACUGACUAUGCUCUGUGAGAUUUUUUGGCGGCAUGUAUUACUUUGGUUUUGGCCAGAAAGUCAAAGGAAAAGAGUAUUGAGAAUAGCAGCCAAUAACUAUGAAAACUCAUCACAGAUUUAUUCAUAUAUCUGGUCAUACCCUGCACACAUAUAGCACUGUAUGGUUGUCAAACUCUUGGCAUGCAUGAUAUCAUUUGAUCUUUAUAACCCUAUAUCUGUGUGACCUUGAGCAAAUCACUCAGCCCAUGGCUGUGACUCCUGUUUGGAAGCUGGGUUUAAUAGAUACCCUCUCCUAAGUCUAUAGGAAUGCUUCAGAAUUAAUAAUAGAGUAGUUCAAUGCAUUGUGAACUUUGUAAAAGAAAGGUAUUAUUAUAAAUGCAAAAUUAUUUUAUUCACCUAGCUUGGGACACUAAAAUUUAGGGAGACUAAGUGAGUUGGCUCUAAGUGUUUAACCACAUUGGUCCCAGGAAACACACAGAACCAUGGAUUAAAAGGUUGAUGUUUUCUAGUUUAGAUAAGAAGCAUGAGAUUUUAUCAUAAAGGGCAAAAUACUGCUCAUAAGUAGAGAAUAUUGUUUUCUAAAGAAUAUAACCAAAUAUUCAUUCUGAACCAUGAACUCACUAAUUUAAUUUAAAUGUGUCAAACAGUAUGAUUUUAUUAGUUAUUGAUCAAUAUUCAGGCUACAUGUAACAAUGGAUGACAACCAGUUUUCUUGAAAAGAUAUCCAAUUUGGAGGCAAUUAAUCCCAGAAUUAUUAUGAAUUACAUAAACUGAGAAGAUAAAUUGGUAAUAUUUCUGAUCAAAAUAAUAUUUUCCAAAUACAUAUAUUUUCUGAGUAAUAUUGUAUAAACAAUAAAGUGGUCAACCUUGUCACUAAUGUUUCAUAUAGCUCACAUAUUAGAAUAAAACCUACUUAAGAACAUCAGAUAUUUGAUAAGAUGUGUCAGUUUCAAUUAAGCUAGGUUUUGCACCAGCCUAAUAAAUAAAGAACAAUAAUUCAGAAGCUAGGAAAUGUAAUUUCAUUGAAAGAUGGAAAGGAAUAAGUAUCUAGCAUGAGCCAGGCAGUGUGGUAAAUACAUUUUAAAUGUGACUUUAUUUAAUCUCUACAACAGCUCUGUAGGAUAAACAUUAUUAUCUCUAAUUUAGAGAUAAAGAAAUCGAACCUUCAAGAGAUUGAGGGCUUCCUCAAGAGUUUGUAAAUCAGAGCCAUAGUUGACCUGGAUCUGAGUGAUACCCAGGUAUAUGUUCUCUCCAUUACUCCAUUUUAUAAUUUAGGAACCACCAGAUCAGAUGUUCCCAAAUUUGUGAAGAGGAACUACAUUCUGGUUUUUUGUUUUGUUUUGAAACCUCAUAUUGGUGGAGGGAGGGGCCAGGAGAAAGAGGUUGAACCUGAUGUGGAUGAAUGUGAGGAUAAGGGCCCCUGAUAGUGAGGGGCUACAGGCAUGCGCCAGCAGGGCCGGCUAAUUAUUUUUUUUAAAGCUCUUGUAGAGAUGCAGUUCCUCACUUUGUUGUCCCAGGUUGGUCUCAAACUCCUGGGUUCAAGCAAUCCUCCUGCCUUGGCUGCCCAAAAUGCUGGGAUUACAGGUGUGAGGUUCUUCACAGGGGAAUGAAGUGAGCAGAAAGUAGCUGCUUGCCAAGUGAAAGAAGCAAUGGACCAAUAUAGGCUUUGAGGUGCACUUGUAAGCUGGUGUGUUGGGAACUGCCGACGUGGUUAGAUGAUGCUCUCUGAUGGUCUUUCUGUUAUAUUAAGGAGUAGAGAUUUUUAAAUAUUAGAUAAUUUUAUGUUUCUAUUGCUAAAUUGGGGUUGAGGGGGAUGUUGGUCUGUCAUUCUAUUUCACUUCAAAUGAAGAUGCAUUUUUAUCUGGAACGUAUGUGGAACUGUCUUGGAAUUUGACUCUGCCGGGUCAGAUUAUGUCCACACAGCAUACAAGCAAAUUCCCAGGAUACCAGGUUGCUGUUUGAGGUUGGCUGCUGCUAAUUCCUCUCCUAGAGAAGAGGACACUCUAGUUCUAGCCCCAGCUCUGCAACUGGCAGAUCACCUCAGCUCUCUGGGCCUCUGUUCUUCCUCCUCUGAAAAAUAAGGAGGCUGAACUAGACAAUUCCUAGGCCUCACUUUCAGUCCUUCUGUUCUGCAGUUCCAUGAGAAACAGAAAGCACAGCUUAUCCUUUAAGCCCUCUAAAAGGCAAAAAAAAAAAAAAACUAAAACAAUUAUCUUCCAUGGUAAAACUGUCUGCUAUAUACAUUUUAAUGUUCCAAAGGAUUAAAGUCCAUCAAUCUUGUAGACUUGUUGGGAAACAAGUCGGUUGGCAUUUUCAUAGACUUUUUAUUUCACCGUGUUUUAGCAUUAUUAGAAAAUUUUUCUGUAGAGGAAAAUUUUGCUAGGAGUUAAUUCAAUUUUUUUUUACAUCUGAUUUUGAAAUUUAAAGUAAAUCACUUGUUUUGAGUAUCUUAUGUAGACGCUUUUUAAGCCACAAAUAAUUUUGUCAAACUUCGCAAAAGUACACUCUGCCCUCAGAAGUUAUUUUAGGUACAAAUUACUUGUUAUGUUAAAUUGAAUAGAUGAAAAUUUAAAUGCUGUAAUAUUUAAGUUAUUCCAACAUAUACACUUUGAUGAUGAAUACAUGCUAACUGGAAACAUUUUACUGUAGUCUUACUUUAUGCUUUUCUACUAAUAAUGUUCAUAAAUUCAUGAAUGGGUGGAUAAUCUUGGCAAGAAAAUGAAAAGGCUUUUAAUUGUGUAAAAAUAUGGAUUUGUCUUCUUCUGGAGUUGUUGCUUGCUCAGCAGACACGUGUUGAGUCCUGCUAACUUGACAAGCACUGCACCACUUGCUGAGAUUACAAAGAUAAGUAAGAUAUGCUCUGUGGCUCUGGAAAAUCAAAAGCUAGUAGAAGAUGCCUGUAGUUCAUCUGGAAAAAGAGAGCUUAUAAAGUUUUUUCUACAAUAUGACCUCAUUUGAACAUAUGGGGUGCAGUUAUUAUUUUCCUUAUUUUACACAGGAAACUGAGUCUCAUGGAGGUUAAGUUAUAAUGCUCAACUUGUUAUUACUUGCCCAGUAUCUGUUGUCCCUUAAACAAGGACUGGGACCAUGUCUAUCUUUUUCAUUCUGUAGUUCCAGUACCUAGCACAGUACCUGGCACAUAAUAGGUGUUCCAUUUGAGCACCUAUUUGAUGGAUUAAUAAAUCCAUCAAACAUAUUUGAUGGAUAAUAUCUCCAACAAAUAUUGGAUCAUAGGAAAGCAUUACUAGCAUUAGUCUUCUUACUCUUGAAGUAAGUACUCUUUCACUAUGCCUUGCUGCCUCUGUAAUUAUAAACCUGUUUAGUAUUAACAGGAUGAAUGCUUGUGGUAUGGAAAAAGAGCUAUAUAUGCUGCCUAAUUUUUUAAAUAAGGAAAGAGAUUGCCUUUGAAAGGUAGAGGCUGAACACCCUUGGAAAAACAAUAGGAUAAAUCCCCCAGAACUCAGACAUCUUGAUACUCAACCACAAAACAUUCUUUUCUUUAUGAAGAAAUAAUUUGGUCAUAUGUGUCAAGCUUUCUCAUUAUUUAGUGGUUUGGAAUCAUUUUAAAUUGGCCAUUAGAAGUAAUGGCAGCAGGUUUGAGGGUCUAGAAGUAUUAUAUAUUGUGUACUUUAUCAGUAAUUUUUAUGAUAUUUAUGAAGCUCAGUAUGGCUGAUGUUAAGAGACAGGGUUAUUAGCACUUCAGAACAUAAGAAUGGAAUUUAAAAUGACCUUAGAAAAAUUGAGAGGUGUUGAUCCUAAAUAGGAACACAUGUGGGGAGAAAAGACAAAUGCACUGUAACUGCAGUAUGCAACUGUGUCAGGGAGGAAUUUAGAAGACCAAAUUCAGAAUCACAAAGUAUUAAUAAUUCUUGUAUUACAUUCUUCAGACUAUUACUGGAAUACUAUGGUCAGUCUCAGUCCCACCAGUUUAAGAGAUUUGUAACAAAUUGUAUGAGAUUUAGAGAAUAUAGAAAAUAAUUAAAGGUUAGAAAUUUAGGAAUGUGAAAACAUAGAAAAUAAGUUGAAUUUUAGUCAUGUAAGGUCUCAAAAUAU